AAUAACAUCAUAAUAACAUUAUGACAUCCUCUAUCCUUCUCACCAGCAGAUAGCCACCUGUAUGGGCAACUGGAUGUCUGAAUGGUCCUCUGAGCAGCUGGGGAUAAUAGAUCUCCCUCUGAUAUGCGUCCAGAUAGAAAUCUGAAGGUUGAAAAUGAAGAAUUCCUCCCUCUGGACUCUACCCUCAAUUAUUAGAGUCUUCAAAGUCUCAUGGCAAGACAAAAAUCAGAAGGACUGGUGAUAGCCCAGGAUGCAGUGAAGGACCCCAUGGAUUUUGUCUAUACAUUCACGUGAAAACCUCCCAAGAGUUUAAAUAGAAUAAAAGACUUUGA